rnacentral:rRNA from 1 species
GAUCCUGGCUCAGGAUGAACGCUAGCUACAGGCUUAACACAUGCAAGUCGAGGGGCAGCAUUUCAGUUUGCUUGCAAACUGGAGAUGGCGACCGGCGCACGGGUGAGUAACACGUAUCCAACCUGCCGAUAACUCGGGGAUAGCCUUUCGAAAGAAAGAUUAAUACCCGAUGGUAUAAUUAGACCGCAUGGUCUAAUUAUUAAAGAAUUUCGGUUAUCGAUGGGGAUGCGUUCCAUUAGGCAGUUUGG